rnacentral:lncRNA from 1 species
AAUUCCACACUAUGUUAUAAUUCGACAAAUAUACAAUUAUACAAUUCCAAUUUCCACACUGCCAACAACCAAUAUACACCAACAUAAACUUCAAACUAUUAACCAAGUCCACAACAUGGAUUAACAAAAAAAAAAAAAACCUGCAGCAGUGAAGAUUAAAGACGCGGGCUGAUGGCAGGAGCCAGGAGGUUUGGACCAAAGAGCAUAUGUACCUUCCAGAUGCUGCAGCAACCAAGCUGAGGGUUAACGACGGCGUCGCUGUACUUGAGGGGAGGGGCUGUGCUGCUACUAAGGGGCUGUGUUAGGCGCUGACCGUGGUGUGAGACGAGGAAGAGACGCGAGGAAGAGAUCGAGAGGGGCUGAGCCGAACCGCACCAUGCACGCGCAGAGGCCGAGAGGGGCUGCGCCGAACCGCACCAUGCACGCGCAGAGGGGGAAGAUACUGCUAAGGGGUGGUGCCGCCGUUGUGGAGCUCCGCCGUGAGGAGAAAGAGACGCGAGGGAGAGGCGCGAGGGAGAGAGGCAAGGGCAGUAUGCAAUCGCGAUUUAGCUUUAGGGAUUUGAAUUUUGUGAUUGAAAUUGAAAUUUGAUUUUAAAUAUUUGUAAUUGAAUUAAACCGAACCGAUCGGUUUUUCGGUUCAAUUCGGUUUUGAACCGAACCGAAUUAAAACCAAUUGGUUCAGUAUUUUUUAAACCAUUCGGUUUUUGCUCAUAGAACCGAACCGAACCGAACCGAAUUUUUCGGUUCGGUUCGGCAAAAACCGAACCGUUUGCCCACCCCUAGAUAUUAGUAAAAAGAUUCUCACACUUGUUCCCAGUGCUUUUUCAUAUUUUAAAAAUAUUCAAUAAUAGUCUCAUUAUCAUUAUUUUAUGAAUUUCAAUGGAGUACCAAAUUUUUAAUCAUGAGUAUCUUACUUAGACCGUUCCUCCUGAACAUUCUUAAACCACUUCACAAUGGAGUACCAAAAAAGAGCUGAGAAGUGAGAGCAGAGGGCUCUGUUUUUUCAAUUGAGAGCGGCGAGCAAGAUUUGAGAGAGAAGAAAAUCGUUUCGAACUUUCGCUAAUAUUUUGAGUUGUAAAAUGUCAGUUCGUGCCCACCACAAAAGACAAUUUAUAAAAUUGAUUCAUUAUUAAAUUCUUUUUAUAAAAUUGUCCCCACUGAAAAAUAAUUAUCCCCAAAAUUAACAACCCUCUACAUCUGCUUCUUGGCUUCUCCUCACACAAUAGCAAAUCAUCAAAUCCUCCCCUGAAUGAUGGAGAAACUAAAAGAAAUUAAAGCUUUAGUUAAGAUAUGUAAAUGAGAAGGUGGUGCUAGUAUCAAGAAGACAGCAGCAAGGAAACAAGAAUAAUGAAGAUUGCAAAGCGAUCCAUUGAGAUCGAUGAUCGAAUGAUUAAUUUUUCUAAAUCAA